CAGCAGCCGCGGGAAUACGAAGGGGGCUAGCGUUGUUCGGAAUUACUGGGCGUAAAGCGCACGUAGGCGGCUUUGUAAGUUAGAGGUGAAAGCCUGGAGCUCAACUCCAGAAUUGCCUUUAAGACUGCAUCGCUUGAAUCCGGGAGAGGUGAGUGGAAUUCCGAGUGUAGAGGUGAAAUUCGUAGAUAUUCGGAAGAACACCAGUGGCGAAGGCGGCUCACUGGACCGGCAUUGACGCUGAGGUGCGAAAGCGUGGGGAGCAAACAGGAUUAGAUACCCCAGUAGUCCCUGUCUCUUAUAC
rnacentral:rRNA from 1 species